rnacentral:rRNA from 1 species
ACCUGGUUGAUCCUGCCAGGAUUAGCCAUGCAUGUCUAAGUAUAAGCAAUUAUACAGUGAAACUGCGAAUGGCUCAUUAAAUCAGUUAUCGUUUAUUUGAUAGUACCUUACUACUUGGAUAACCGUGGUAAUUCUAGAGCUAAUACAUGCUUAAAAUCCCGACUGUUUGGAAGGGAUGUAUUUAUUAGAUAAAAAAUCAAUGCCUUCGGGCUCUUUGAUGAUUCAUAAUAACUUUUCGAAUCGCAUGGCCUUGUGCUGGCGAUGGUUCAUUCAAAUUUCUGCCCUAUCAACUUUCGAUGGUAGGAUAGUGGCCUACCAUGGUUUCAACGGGUAACGGGGAAUAAGGGUUCGAUUCCGGAGAGGGAGCCUGACAAACGGCUACCACAUCCAAGGAAGGCAGCAGGCGCGCAAAUUACCCAAUCCCGACCCGGGGAGGUAGUGACGAGAAAUAAUACGAUACAGGGCCCUUUCGGGUCUUGUAAUUGGAAUGAGUACAAUGUAAAUACCUUAACGAGGAACAAUUGGAGGGCAAGUCUGGUGCCAGCAGCCGCGGUAAUUCCAGCUCCAAAGCGUAUAUUAAAGUUGUUGCAGUUAAAAAGCUCGUAGUUGAACCUUGGGCUUGGCUGGCCGGUCCAUCUUUUUUGAUGCGUACUGGACCCAGCCGAGCCUUUCCUUCUGGCUAGCCUUUUUGGCGAACCAGGACUUUUACUUUGAAAAAAUUAGAGUGUUCAAAGCAGGCCUUUGCUCGAAUAUAUUAGCAUGGAAUAAUAGAAUAGGACGUUAUGGUUCUAUUUUGUUGGUUUCUAGGACCAUCGUAAUGAUUAAUAGGGACGGUCGGGGGUAUCAGUAUUCAGUAGUCAGAGGUGAAAUUCUUGGAUUUAUUGAAGACUAACUACUGCGAAAGCAUUUACCAAGGACGUUUUCAUUAAUCAAGAACGAAAGUUAGGGGAUCGAAGAUGAUCAGAUACCGUCGUAGUCUUAACCAUAAACUAUGCCGACUAGGGAUCGGUUGUUGUUCUUUUAUUGACGCAAUCGGCACCUUACGAGAAAUCAAAGUCUUUGGGUUCUGGGGGGGAGUAUGGUCGCAAGGCUGAAACUUAAAGGAAUUGACGGAACGGCACCACCACGAUGGAGCCUGCGGCUGUAGUUUGACUCAACACGGGGAAACUCACCACUCCAGACACAAUAAGAUUGACAGAUUGAGAGCUCUUUCUUGAUUUUGUGGUGGGGGUGCAUGGUCCAUGCAAUUCUGGAGGGGGAAGAAUGUGGCCGCAAGAAG